AGUCCCGCAACGAGCGNAACCCUUGUCCUUAGUUGCCAGCAUAAGUUGGGCACUCUAAGGAGACUGCCGGUGACGAAACCGGAGGAAGGUGGGGACGACGUCAAGCCAUCCAUGGCCCUUACGUGUAGGGCUACACACGUGCUACAAUGGCAUAUACAGAGGGAAGCAAUACAGCGAUGUAGGAGCGGACCCCUUAAAGUAUGUCGUAGUCCGGAUUGGAGUCUGCAACUCGACUCCAUGAAGUCGGAAUCGCUAGUAAUCGCAGGUCAGCAUACUGCGGUGAAUACGUUCCCGGGCCUU
rnacentral:rRNA from 1 species